UACGGAGGGUGCAAACGUUGCUCGGAAUCAUUGGGCGUAAAGCGCACGUAGGCGGUCGGCUAUGUCGGAUGUGAAAGCCUCGGGCUUAACCCGAGAAGGGCAUCCGAAACUGGCCGGCUUGAGUACGGAAGAGGGUCUCGGAAUUCCCGGUGUAGAGGUGAAAUUCGUAGAUAUCGGGAGGAACACCAGUGGCGAAGGCGGAGACCUGGGCCGAUGCUGACGCUGAGGUGCGAAAGCGUGGGGAGCAAACAGG
rnacentral:rRNA from 1 species